UACGGAGGGGGCUAGCGUUGUUCGGAAUCACUGGGCGUAAAGCGCACGUAGGCGGACGUGUCAGUCAGGGGUGAAAUCCCGGAGCUCAACUUCGGAACUGCCUUUGAUACAGCACGUCUUGAGUCCGGAAGAGGUGGGUGGAAUUCCUAGUGUAGAGGUGAAAUUCGUAGAAUAUUAGGAAGAACACCGGUGGCGAAGGCGGCCCACUGGUCCGGUACUGACGCUGAGGUGCGAAAGCGUGGGGAGCAAACAGG
rnacentral:rRNA from 1 species